ANNGGCGNUCCUAUCAUGCAGUCGAGCGAAUCGAUGGGAGCUUGCUCCCUGAGAUUAGCGGCGGACGGGUGAGUAACACGUGGGCAACCUGCCUAUAAGACUGGGAUAACUUCGGGAAACCGGAGCUAAUACCGGAUACGUUCUUUUCUCGCAUGAGAGAAGAUGGAAAGACGGUUUACGCUGUCACUUAUAGAUGGGCCCGCGGCGCAUUAGCUAGUUGGUGAGGUAAUGGCUCACCAAGGCGACGAUGCGUAGCCGACCUGAGAGGGUGAUCGGCCACACUGGGACUGAGACACGGCCCAGACUCCUACGGGAGGCAGCAGA
rnacentral:rRNA from 2 species